rnacentral:rRNA from 1 species
GACGAGCGCUGGCGGCGUGCUUAACACAUGCAAGUCGAACGGAAAGGCCCUGCUUGCAGGGUACUCGAGUGGCGAACGGGUGAGUAACACGUGGGUGAUCUGCCCUGCACUUCGGGAUAAGCCUGGGAAACUGGGUCUAAUACCGGAUAGGAGCCAUUUUUAGUGUGAUGGUUGGAAAGUUUUUUCGGUGUAGGAUGAGCUCGCGGCCUAUCAGCUUGUUGGUGGGGUAAUGGCCUACCAAGGCGGCGACGGGUAGCCGGCCUGAGAGGGUGGACGGCCACAUUGGGACUGAGAUACGGCCCAGACUCCUACGGGAGGCAGCAGUGGGGAAUAUUGCACAAUGGGCGCAAGCCUGAUGCAGCGACGCCGCGUGGGGGAUGACGACCUUCGGGUUGUAAACUCCUUUCGCUAGGGACGAAGCUUUUUGUGACGGUACCUAGAUAAGAAGCACCGGCUAACUACGUG